AUUGAACGCUGGCGGCAGGCCUAACACAUGCAAGUCGAGCGCGCGGCGGACGGGGGAGUAAUGUCUGGGAAACUGCCUGUUGGAGGGGGCUAACUACUGGAAACGGGAGCGAAUACCGCAUACCAUCAGAUGUGCCCAGAUGGGAGUAGCUGGUAGGUAGGGUAACGGCUCACCUAGGCGACAAUCCCUAGCUGGUCUGAGAGGAUGACCAGCCACACUGGAACUGAGACACGGUCCAGACUCCUACGGGAGGCAGCAGUGGGGAAUAUUGCACAAUGGGCGCAAGCCUGAUGCAGCCAUGCCGCGUGUGUGAAGAAGGCCUUCGGGUUGUAAAGUACUUUCAGCGGGGAGGCGUUACCCGCAGAAGAAGCACCGGCUAACUCCGUGCCAGCAGCCGCGGUAAUAC
rnacentral:rRNA from 1 species